rnacentral:rRNA from 1 species
UACAGAGGUCCCAAGCGUUGUUCGGAUUCACUGGGCGUAAAGGGUGCGUAGGUGGCAGGGUAAGUUUGAUGUGAAAUCUCCGAGCUUAACUCGGAAACUGCAUUGAAUACUAUCCUGCUCGAGGUUUGGAAGGGGGACUGGAAUUCUCGGUGUAGCAGUGAAAUGCGUAGAUAUCGAGAGGAACACCAGUGGCGAAGGCGAGUCCCCUGGACAACACCUGACACUGAGGCACGAAAGCUAGGGGAGCAAACAGG